AUACUUACCUGGCAGGGGAGAUACCAUGAUCAUGAAGGUGGUUUUCCCAGAGCGAGGCUUAUCCAUUGCACUCCGGAUGUGCUGACCCCUGCGAUUUCCCCAAAUGUGGGAAACUUGACUGCAUAAUUUGUGGUAGUGGGGGAAAACA
rnacentral:snRNA from 1 species